rnacentral:miRNA from 14 species
CUGUGCAUCUCUCCCACGCAUA